rnacentral:rRNA from 1 species
CAUUAAAGAGUUCUAUAACUCCCAAACCCAUGUGAACAUACCUAACGUUGCCUCGGCAGGUCGCACCUACCUUGUAGCACCCUACCCUGUAGGGCCUACCCGGGAGGUGCGGGUAAGCCUGCCGGCGGCCCACCAAACUCUGUUUGAUAUUGAAUUCUGAACCUAUAACUAAAUAAGUUAAAACUUUCAACAACGGAUCUCUUGGUUCUGGCAUCGAUGAAGAACGCAGCGAAAUGCGAUAAGUAAUGUGAAUUGCAGAAUUCAGUGAAUCAUCGAAUCUUUGAACGCAUAUUGCGCCCAUUAGUAUUCUAGUGGGCAGGACCGUUCGAGCGUCAUUUCAACCCUUAAGCCUUCGUUGCUUAGUGUUGGGAGCCUACGGCAACGUAGCUCCUCAAAGUUAGUGGCGGAGUUGGUUCACACUCUAGACGUAGUAAUUUUUUAUCUCGCCUAUUAGUUGGACUAAUCCCCUGCCGUAAAACCCCUAAUUUAUCAAGGUUGACCUCGAAUCGGUUCAGACAAACUCGCUAAAUUGAAGCAUCUUAGUCAGCGAAGGAAAAGAAACCAACAGGGAUUGCCCUAGUAACGGCGAGUGAAGCGGCAACAGCUCAAAUUUGAAAUCUGGCCCUCGGGUCCGAGUUGUAA